ACCACAACCUAACCUAUCCACAACCUAACCUAACCACAACCUAACCACAACCUAACCACAACCUAACCUAACCACAACCUAACCACAACCUAACCACAACCUAACCACAACCUAACCACAACCUAACCACAACCUAACCACAACACAUGACAUCAAAGUAACAAAACAUUAUACAUCUCUUGCAAAAGAAAAACAAUUCUUGCAAAACUCUUUAAACACUUAAAACAUGUUUUGUUGUUGCUGCAACACAAACCAUCCUUUGAAUAAGAACACAAAGCACCAACUACACACUGACAGUAUAAAUGAAAACCACUUGAGACUUUUGCUUUUCCGGUGUGCAGGGCAUAAUAAUCACACAUAACACACAGGUAUCUGGAUGUGUAAAGGCUGUGUAUUCUGAACAUAACACACAGGUAUCUGGAUGUGUAAAGGCUGUGUAUUCUGAACAUGACACACAGGUAUCUGGAUGUGUAAAGGCUGUGUAUUCUGAACAUGACACACAGGUAUCUGGAUGUGUAAAGGCUGUGUAUUCUGAACAUAACACACAGGUAUCUGGAUGUGUAAAGGCUGUGUAUUCUGAACAUAACACACAGGUAUCUGGAUGUGUAAAGGCUGUGUAUUCUGAACAUAACACACAGGUAUCUGGAUGUGUAAAGUAUGGCUGUGUAUUCUGAACAUAACACACAGGUAUCUGGAUGUGUAAAGGCUGUGUAUUCUGAACAUAACACACAGGUAUCUGGAUGUGUAAAGGCUGUGUAUUCUGAACAUAACACACAGGUAUCCUGAUGUGUAAAGUAUGGCUGUGUAUUCUGAACAUAACACACAGGUAUCUGGAUGUGUAAAGUAUGGCUGUGUAUUCUGAACAUAACACACAGGUAUCUGGAUGUGUAAAGGCUGUGUAUUCUGAACAUAACACACAGGUAUCUGGAUGUGUAAAGGCUGUGUAUUCUGAACAUAACACACAGGUAUCUGGAUGUGUAAAGUAUGGCUGUGUAUUCUGAACAUAACACACAGGUAUCUGGAUGUGUAAAGGCUGUGUAUUCUGAACAUAACACACAGGUAUCUGGAUGUGUAAAGGCUGUGUAUUCUGAACAUAACACACAGGUAUCUGGAUGUGUAAAGUAUGGCUGUGUAUUCUGAACAUAACACACAGGUAUCUGGAUGUGUAAAGUAUGGCUGUGUAUUCUGAACAUAACACACAGGUAUCUGGAUGUGUAAAGUAUGGCUGUGUAUUCUGAACAUAACACACAGGUAUCUGGAUGUGUAAAGUAUGGCUGUGUAUUCUGAACAUAACACACAGGUAUCUGGAUGUGUAAAGUAUGGCUGUGUAUUCUGAACAUAACACACAGGUAUCUGGAUGUGUAAAGUAUGGCUGUGUAUUCUGAACAUAACACACAGGUAUCUGGAUGUGUAAAGGCUGUGUAUUCUGAA